rnacentral:rRNA from 1 species
GACGAACGCUGGCGGCGUGCUUAACACAUGCAAGUCGAACGGACUUCAGUCCGCAAGGACUGAAGUGAGUGGCGAACGGCUGAGUAACACGUAGGUGACCUGCCCCGAAGUUUGGGAUAACACCUCGAAAGAGGUGCUAAUACCGGAUGUGACCACCGAUUCAUUUCGGUGCUUAAAGUCGCAAGACGCUUUGGGAGGGGCCUGCGGCGGAUUAGCUAGUUGGUGUGGUAACGGCACACCAAGGCUUCGAUCCGUAGCUGGUCUGAGAGGGCGGUCGGCCACACUGACACUGACAUACGGGUCAGACUCCUACGGGAGGCAGCAGUCGGGAAUUUUGGGCAAUGGGCGCAAGCCUGACCCAGCAACGCCGCGUGAAGGAUGAAAUCCCUCGGGAUGUAAACUUCGCAAGAACAGGAAGAA